ACCAGGGACGCCGGAACGAUAAUAGGGCAAAGGGGGGCGGACGCACACCAAGGGCACCUUUACUGAAAAAUUUUUUCAAUUUACUCAAAAAAAUUUUCCGGACAUACAAAAAUUUUCCGUGAAGCCAAAAAUUUUUCCGGAUAUCUUAAAUUUUCGCCAUUUCUUCGAAAUAUUUUUCUAAAUUCCAAAAAUUUCCCAAAAUUUUUAUAAAUAUAAACUAUAAAUUACCUGAAUCUCGUGAUUUUCCUACAAAAAGCAUCGUUGGAAAUGUGAUUUAUCACGUAUUAUUUUACAACUAAAAGGGCAC